rnacentral:rRNA from 1 species
GACAGAGGGUGCAAACGUUGUUCGGAAUUACUGGGCGUAAAGCGCGUGUAGGCGGCUAUGGAAGUCGGGCGUGAAAUCCCACGGCUCAACCGUGGAAGUGCACCCGAAACUGCGUAGCUAGAGUCCUGGAGAGGAAGGUGGAAUGCUUGGUGUAGAGGUGAAAUUCGUAGAUAUCAAGCGGAACACCGGUGGCGAAGGCGGCCUUCUGGACAGUGACUGACGCUGAGACGCGAAAGCGUGGGGAGCAAACAGG